rnacentral:rRNA from 1 species
UACAGAGGUCCCAAGCGUUGUUCGGAUUCACUGGGCGUAAAGGGUGCGUAGGUGGCCAGGUAAGUUCGGUGUGAAAGCUCGGAGCUUAACUCCGAAAUGUCAUUGAAUACUAUCUGGCUGGAGGGUCGGAGGGGAGACUGGAAUUCUCGGUGUAGCAGUGAAAUGCGUAGAUAUCGAGAGGAACACCAGUGGCGAAGGCGAGCCUCUGGACGACUCCUGACACUGAGGCACGAAAGCCAGGGGAGCAAACGGG